rnacentral:rRNA from 1 species
CCUAUGGGGGGCAGCAGGCGCGAAAACUUUACAAUGCGGGAAACCGUGAUAAGGGAACCCCGAGUGCCUGUAUAUGCAGGCUGUCCAGGUGUCUAAAAAACACCUGAAGAAAGGGCCGGGCAAGACCGGUGCCAGCCGCCGCGGUAAUACCGGCGGCUCGAGUGGUGGCCACUUUUAUUGGGCUUAAAGCGUUCGUAGCUGGGUUGUUAAGUCUCUUGGGAAAUCUGACGGCUCAACCGUCAGGCGUCCAAGGGAUACUGGCAAUCUUGGAACCGGGAGAGGUGAGGGGUACUUCGGGGGUAGGAGUGAAAUCCUGUAAUCCUCGAGGGACCACCUGUGGCGAAGGCGCCUCACCAGAACGGCUUCGACAGUGAGGGACGAAAGCUGGGGGAGCAAACCGGAUUAGAUACCCACGUAGUCC